AGAUACCCUGGUAGUCCACGCCGUAAACGAUGUCGACUUGGAGGUUGUGCCCUUGAGGCGUGGCUUCCGGAGCUAACGCGUUAAGUCGACCGCCUGGGGAGUACGGCCGCAAGGUUAAAACUCAAAUGAAUUGACGGGGGCCCGCACAAGCGGUGGAGCAUGUGGUUUAAUUCGAUGCAACGCGAAGAACCUUACCUGGUCUUGACAUCCACAGAACUUUCCAGAGAUGGAUUGGUGCCUUCGGGAACUGUGAGACAGGUGCUGCAUGGCUGUCGUCAGCUCGUGUUGUGAAAUGUUGGGUUAAGUCCCGCAACGAGCGCAACCCUUAUCCUUUGUUGCCAGCGGUCCGGCCGGGAACUCAAAGGAGACUGCCAGUGAUAAACUGGAGGAAGGUGGGGAUGACGUCAAGUCAUCAUGGCCCUUACGACCAGGGCUACACACGUGCUACAAUGGCGCAUACAAAGAGAAGCGACCUCGCGAGAGCAAGCGGACCUCAUAAAGUGCGUCGUAGUCCGGAUUGGAGUCUGCAACUCGACUCCAUGAAGUCGGAAUCGCUAGUAAUCGUGGAUCAGAAUGCCACGGUGAAUACGUUCCCGGGCCUUGUACACACCGCCCGUCACACCAUGGGAGUGGGUUGCAAAAGAAGUAGGUAGCUUAACCUUCGGGAGGGCGCUUACCACUUUGUGAUUCAUGACUGGGGUGAAGUCGUAACAAGGUAACCGUAGGGGAACCUGCGGUUG
rnacentral:rRNA from 1 species